rnacentral:tRNA from 1 species
AAGACCUGUAAAAUUCUAAUAUACAUCUGAUGACUGCAACUCAACCGCUUUAAUUAAACUAAGGCCUUA